UAGCUUAGAGAUAGAGUGCUUGCCUAGCAUGCAUGAGGCCCUGGGUUCAAUCCCCAG
rnacentral:tRNA from 1 species